AUUGAACGCUGGCGGCAGGCCUAACACAUGCAAGUCGAACGAGUGGCGGACGGGUGAGUAAUGUCUGGGAAACUGCCCGCUGGAGGUGGAUAACUCCUGGAAACGGUAGCUAAUACCGCAUACCAUCGGAUGUGCCCAGAUGGGAUUCGCUUGUAGGUGAGGUAACGGCUCACCUAGGCGACGCUCCCUCGCUGGUCUGAGAGGAUGACCAGACACACUGGAACUGAGACAAGGGCCAGACUCCGACGUGAGGCAGCAGUGGGGAAUAUGGCACAAUGGGCGAAAGCCUGAUGCAGCCAGGCCGCGUGUAUGAAGAAGGCCUUCGGGUGGUAAAGUACUUUCAGCGGGGAGGCGUUACCCGCAGAAGAAGCACCGGCUAACUCCGUGCCAGCAGCAGCGGUAAUAC
rnacentral:rRNA from 1 species